GAACAUAAGUUUUUCUGUGAAUAUAGGUUUUUUUUUUGGAAUAAAUGUGCAAGAGUGAAAUUGAUGUGUCAUAUGGUAAUUGGAUGUUUAGUUUUUAGUUUUUAGGUUUUUUUUUUUUUUUUGAGACAGAGUCUCGCUCUGUUGCCCAGGCUAGAGUGCAGUGGUGUGAUCUUGGCUCACUGCAAACUCCACCUCCUAGGCUCUCAAGCGAUCCUACCACCUCAGCCUCCCUAGCAGCUGGGACUACAGGCAUGCGCCACCACGCCCAGCUAAUUUUUGUAUUUUCGGUAGAGACAAGGUUUCACUAUGUUGGCCAGGCUGAUCUGGAACUCCUGGCCUCAAGUGAUCCACCUGCCUCGGCCACCCAAAGUGCUGGGAUUACAGGCGUGAGCCACUGUGCCUGGCCUACAAUAUUUAGUUUUGUAAAAAUUUACCAAACUGUUUUCCAGAGUGGCUGUAUCAUUUUACAUCCUCACCAGCAAUGUAUGAGUGAUCCAUUUCUCUGCAUCCUCACCAGCAUUAGACUUUGUCAUUAUUUUUAUUUUAGCCAAUCUGAUAGCUGUGAAGUGAUAGCUCAUUGUGGUUUUAAUUUGCAUUUCCUGCUGGUUAAUGAUGUUAAAUAUCUUUUCAGUGCUUAUUCACCAUCUGUUAAUCCUGUCUGGUGAAAUGUCUGUUUACAUCUUUUUGCCCAUUUUUCUAACUGGAUUUUUUUUUUUCUUACUGUUGAGUUUUGAGAAUCCUUUAUAUAUUACAGAUACUAAACCUUCAUCAGAUAUGUUUUGCAAAUAUUUUCUUCCAGUCUCUAGCUUGUCUUUUUAUCAUCUUCACAGGGUCUUGAACAGAACAAAAGUUUUAAAUUUUGAUUAUAUCCAGUUUGUCAGCCCUUCCUUUUGUGAAUUGUCCUUUCGGUAUCAAGUCUAAGAACUCUUUGUCUGCCCCUACAUCCUAAAGAUUUUCCCUCAUGUUUCUUUUAAGUUUUGUAGUUUUACAUUUAAGUUCACGAUUCAUUUUGAGUAAAUUUUUAUGUAAGGUAUAAGAAUUAGGUCGAGGUUCAGUUUCCUUUUUUUUUUUGCCUGUAAGUGUCCAAUUGCUCCAGCAUCAUUUGUUGAAAAAGCAAUCCUUCCUUUAUUGAAUUGCCUUUGCACCUUUGUCAGAAAUAAGUAGGGCACGGUGAGCAAGGUGGGGCUCACCUAAGUCCCAGCCACUCAAGAGGCUGAGGUGGAAGGAUUGCUUGAGCCCAGGAGUUUGAGGUUGUAGUGUGCUAUUUUUCUGCCUGUGAAUAGCCACUGCACUCUAGCCUGGGCAAUAUAGCAAGAUCCCAUCACUAAAAAUAAAACAAACUAAAAAAUUAAGACACAAAAAAUUCUGAAAAGGCUCUGGUUGAAUUAAAAAAAUCAGUGGGGCAUAUUUGUGUGGGUCUAUUUAAUUCAUUCCUUUUUAUUACUGAGUAGUAUUCCAUUGUAUGGCUAUACCACAAUGUGUUUAUACCUUCACCCAUUCUUGAACAUCUGGUUGUUUCUAGCUUUGGGUUAUUGUGAAUAAAAUUGCUGUGAACAUUCAUGCCAGCUAUUGUGUGGACACGUUUUUCUUUCUUUCUUUUUUUUUGGGGGGGGAUGGAAUCUUGCUGUGUCGCCCAGGCUGGAGUGCAGUGGCACAAUCUCGGCUCACUUCAAGCUCCGCCUCCUGGGCUCACACCAUUCUCCUGCCUCAGUCUCCUGAGCAGCUGGGACUACAGGCACCCGCAGUCAUCCACAGGACUAAACCCCUCCCUGUGAUGCUG
rnacentral:lncRNA from 1 species